UACAGAGGGGGCAAGCGUUGUUCGGAAUUACUGGGCGUAAAGGGCGCGUAGGCGGCCUGUUAAGUCGAACGUGAAAUCCCUGGGCUCAACCCAGGAACUGCGUCCGAUACUGGCAGGCUUGAAUCCGGGAGAGGGAUGUGGAAUUCCCGGUGUAGCGGUGAAAUGCGCAGAUAUCGGGAGGAACACCAAUGGCGAAGGCAGCUCGCUGGGACGGUACUGACGCUGAGACGCGAAAGCGUGGGGAGCAAACAGG
rnacentral:rRNA from 1 species